rnacentral:rRNA from 1 species
AGUAAAAGUCGUAACAAGGUCUCCGUAGGUGAACCUGCGGAGGGAUCAUUACAAGUGACCCCGGCUACGGCCGGGAUGUUCAUAACCCUUUGUUGUCCGACUCUGUUGCCUCCGGGGCGACCCUGCCUUCGGGCGGGGGCUCCGGGUGGACACUUCAAACUCUUGCGUAACUUUGCAGUCUGAGUAAACUUAAUUAAUAAAUUAAAACUUUUAACAGCGGAUCUCUUGGUUCUGGCAUCGAUGAAGAACGCAGCGAAAUGCGAUAAGUAAUGUGAAUUGCAGAAUUCAGUGAAUCAUCGAAUCUUUGAACGCACAUUGCGCCCCCUGGUAUUCCGGGGGGCAUACCUGUUCGAGCGUCAUUUCACCACUCAAGCCUCGCUUGGUAUUGGGCAACGCGGUCCGCCGCGUGCCUCAAAUCGUCCGGCUGGGUCUUCUGUCCCCUAAGCGUUGUGGAAACUAUUCGCUAAAGGGUGUUCGGGAGGCUACGCCGUAAAACAACCCCAUUUCUAAGGUUGACCUCGGAUCAGGUAGGGAUACCCGCUGAACUUAAGCAUAUCAAUAAGCGGAGGAAAAGAAACCAACAGGGAUUGCCCCAGUAACG